UGAGAACUCAAAGUCCAAAGAGAAGUUGUUUGGAUAUCUUCCUCCUAUAAGCUCAUAGAACAAGGCUUCAGAGGACAAGGUGGAUGGGGACUCAACCUGUGAAACUGUGUAAGAAACUACCAGCUCCACUGGAACUUCCAACUUAAAAGCUCAGGACCUCUACCCCUUGGAGUCAAGCAGUUGAAACAAUUUUCAACCAGGCAGUGGUCCUGGUCCUUAUGGCUUUCCCACUUUCAAGCCCAAUCCUCACCUGGAAAAUCAGCUGAUGGGUAUGGAUCCUUUACUUCAUUGACAUUGGAUUCAAACUCAUCCACUUUCAGCUGCAUGAAGACAAGAAAAAAAAAGUAGGUUGUGCUGAUGGGGAGACUGCCUCUCUAGGAAACCAUCUUCCAACAUCUCUAGGCCCCUUAGCCCAGUAUGAUUCAGUGUAAGCUUAAGCAAAGGCAAGGCAAAAUCAUGCCUGGUUUCAGAGGCAGAGGAACUCUCCUGGGGGAACAGUCAACUUGCCUUUCUGAGAGGAAACAGCAAAACACACACCAGUCUGGGCUGGAACAUUGAGGCCAUCUGAACUUAUUUAGGAUCCUAUUGUAUAAUUAGAAUCUGCUCCCCAGGACUCUAAAAUCCUAGUAUCCCACUUUCCUUCUCACAUUAUGUCCCUAUAUUUUGGAGAUAAAGUUUGUGUGUGACUCCACUUCUCUCUCUUUUUCCCCACGAACACAGCUGGGAAAACAUUUCUUUAUUCAGGCUUUUACUUUUGUCCUUUUAUUUCUUCUACUU